rnacentral:miRNA from 1 species
GUGGCCGUCCUCUUCCUCC